rnacentral:rRNA from 1 species
CCUACGGGGGGCAGCAGUGGGGAAUAUUGCACAAUGGGGGAAACCCUGAUGCAGCGACGCCGCGUGAGUGAAGAAGUAUUUCGGUAUGUAAAGCUCUAUCAGCAGGGAAGAAAUAAAGUCCUUCGGACUUUGGACGGUACCUGACUAAGAAGCCCCGGCUAACUACGUGCCAGCAGCCGCGGUAAUACGUAGGGGGCAAGCGUUAUCCGGAGUUACUUGGGGGAAAGGGAGCGUAGACGGCAGCGCAAGUCGGGAGUGAAAUCCCAUGGCUUAACCAUGGAACUGCUUUGGAAACUGUGCAGCUGGAGUGCAGGAGAGGUAAGCGGAAUUCCUAGUGUAGCGGUGAAAUGCGUAGAUAUUAGGAGGAACACCAGUGGCGAAGGCGGCUUACUGGACUGUAACUGACGUUGAGGCUCGAAAGCGUGGGGAGCAAACAGGAUUAGAUACCCUUGUAGUC